rnacentral:rRNA from 1 species
AUUGAACGCUGGCGGCAGGCCUAACACAUGCAAGUCGAGCGAGCGGCGGACGGGUGAGUAAUGUAUGGGGACUGCCCGAUAGAUGGGGAUAACUUCUGGAAACGGUAGCUAAUACCGCAUACUAUCGGAUAACCCAUAUGGGAUUUGCUAGUAGGUGAGGUAAUGGCUCACCUAGGCGACGAUCCCUAGCUGGUCUGAGAGGAUGGUCAGCCACACUGGGACUGAGACACGGACCAGACUCCUACGGAGGCAGCAGUGGAGAAUAUUGCACAAUGGGCGCAAGCCUGAUGCAUCCAUGCCGCGUGUAUGAAGAAGGCCCUAGGGUUGUAAAGUCCUUUCAGUCGGGAGGCGUUACCGAAAGAAGAAGCACCGGCUAACUCCGUGCCAGCAGCCGCGGUAAUUC